CUGUAUAUAUUGGACAUUAUAGGUAUGCUUUUCAACUCUGCUGUUUCACUUCUUUUUUGUUUAUAUAAUUUUUGUAAAUCGGUUUCAGUUAAAACAACAACAGGGAUGCCGGAAGUUGCUGAGGGCAAGGGGUGCGAUUUGCUAUCAAAAGGGCACAUUUUUAAAAAAGGGCAGAAACAAAAAUAAAAGGUCACUUGCCUACUUAUAACCUAAUUUAAAAUCAAACACAAGCAAUAAAGCAACCUUUAUUAAUUUCAAACAUUAAAAUUAUAAAAUAGGCACACAGAAUUAGCAGAAACUGUUUAGCUUUCUCUUCUACUGAAGAAAGGUCGUUUACCCCGCAUUGAAAUAACGCCUGAUCGCAGGUUAGCUUCAAACAACUACACACUUACGUAAGUAAUCUGCUUGUGUGAAAUAAUUUAAAUAUAUUCGUUUUAAGUCUUUUGUGCACCCGUUGCAUCCAUAGUGUGCACCCGCACUGCACCCAAAAAGUCAUGAAUACAAAAGGCAUGGGGUGCACUUGCACCCACUGCACCAGUGGUUCCGGCAUCCCUGAACAACACCUCCAAAUUUAUGCGCUUGAAAAACUUAAAGUCUAAA